GAUGAACGCUGGCGGCGUGCCUAACACAUGCAAGUCGAGCGAUUCUCUUCGGAGAAGAGCGGCGGACGGGUGAGUAACGCGUGGGUAACCUGCCCUGUACACACGGAUAACAUACCGCAAGGUAUGCUAAUACGAGAUAAUAUGCUUUUGUCGCAUGGUAGAAGUAUCAAAGCUCCGGCGGUACAGGAUGGACCCGCGGCUGAUUAGCUAGUUGGUAAGGUAACGGCUUACCAAGGCGACGAGCAGUAGUCGACCUGAGAGGGUGAUCGGCCACAUUGGAACUGAGACACGGUCCAAACUCCUACGGGAGGCAGCAGUGGGGAAUAUUGCACAAUGGGCGAAAGCCUGAUGCAGCAACGCCGCGUGAGCGAUGAAGGCCUUCGGGUCGUAAAGCUCUGUCCUCAAGGAAGAUAAUGACGGUACUUGAGGAGGAAGCCCCGGCUAACUACGUGCCAGCAGCCGCCGCCG
rnacentral:rRNA from 1 species